rnacentral:rRNA from 1 species
CCUACGGGUGGCAGCAGUGAGGAAUAUUGGUCAAUGGGCGGGAGCCUGAACCAGCCAAGUCGCGUGAGGGAUGACGGUCCUAAGGAUUGUAAACCUCUUUUGUCCGGGAAUAAAGGCCGUUACGCGUCGCGCUUUGCGUGUACCGGAAGAAAAAGCAUCGGCUAAUUCCGUGCCAGCAGCCGCGGUAAUACGGAGGAUGCGGGCGUUAUCCGGAUUUAUUGGGUUUAAAGGGUGCGCAGGCGGAAGGUAAAGUCAGCGGUAAAGUUUAGGGGCUCAACCCCGCCGUGCCGUUGGAACUGGGGUUCUUGAGUGGGCGGAAAGCAGGCGGAAUGCGUGGUGUAGCGGUGAAAUGCAUAGAUAUGACGCAGAACUCCGAUUGCGAAGGCAGCGUGCCGGAGCGCAACUGACGCUGAUGCUCGAAAGCGUGGGUAUCGAACAGGAUUAGAUACCCGUGUAGUC